CCGGUAUGUGUUCUCUAUGAUCAGUUCUUGAUUUGGGAGUUGGAUGUUUAACAUUGCAAACAGUUAAUUUAAAAAUUCUCUUAUUCUCUCAUAAGUAACGUCCUCAGGAUUAUAUAUUUUUAUUCUUAUAUUUUUCAUCCUCUGUCUGUCCUCCAGUUGAUUUAAUCGGAUUUCUAAAUUGUUCAGGUCCAUCUUCUUUUCUGUUCCUCAGAGACUACUUUAUAUUGAGAUACGAUUCUUUCUUGAUUUUCCUCUAUUUUGAUUAUUUUCAUACCAAGUUCUUCUAUUUGCUGUUUUGCUUGGUUUGUAUCUAGUUAUUUUUUAAAUGUCUCUGUUUGACUUUCCAAAUUUGUUUUAAUAAAAUCUUGCAGGUUAGACGUAGACAUAGAAUUUCUUCUCUCUUCCAAUAUAG